rnacentral:rRNA from 1 species
UACGUAGGCAGCAAGCGUUGUUCGGAAUUACUGGGCGUAAAGAGUGUGUAGGCGGUGUUCUAAGUUUGUCGUGAAAUCUCCCGGCUUAACUGGGAGGGUGCGGCGAAAACUGGAAUGCUAGAGGAUGGGAGAGGUAAGCGGAAUUCCUGGUGUAGCGGUGAAAUGCGUAGAUAUCAGGAGGAACACCGAUGGCGAAGGCAGGUCUCUGGGCUGACACUGACGCUCAUGCACGAAAGCGUGGGGAGCAAACAGG